rfam:Triticum aestivum genome assembly, contig: Triticum_aestivum_CS42_TGACv1_scaffold_225150_3B
AAUAUACUCCCUCCGUCCAGAAAUACUCGUCGGAGGAAUGGAUGUAUCUAGAUGUAUUUUAGUUCUAGAUACAUUCAUUUUCAUGCAUUUUUUCGACAGGUAUUUCCGGACGAAGGGAGUACAUG